CCUUUUGUAUAAUGGGUCAGCGACUUAUAUUCUGUAGCAAGGUUAACCGAAUAGGGGAGCCGAAGGGAAACCGAGUCUUAACUGGGCGUUAAGUUGCAGGGUAUAGACCCGAAACCCGGUGAUCUAGCCAUGGGCAGGUUGAAGGUUGGGUAACACUAACUGGAGGACCGAACCGACUAAUGUUGAAAAAUUAGCGGAUGACUUGUGGCUGGGGGUGAAAGGCCAAUCAAACCGGGAGAUAGCUGGUUCUCCCCGAAAGCUAUUUAGGUAGCGCCUCGUGAACUCAUCUCCGGGGGUAGAGCACUGUUUCGGCAAGGGGGUCAUCCCGACUUACCAACCCGAUGCAAACUGCGAAUACCGGAGAAUGUUAUCACGGGAGACACACGGCGGGUGCUAACGUCCGUCGUGAAGAGGGAAACAACCCAGACCGCCAGCUAAGGUCCCAAAGUCAUGGUUAAGUGGGAAACGAUGUGGGAAGGCCCAGACAGCCAGGAUGUUGGCUUAGAAGCAGCCAUCAUUUAAAGAAAGCGUAAUAGCUCACUGGUCGAGUCGGCCUGCGCGGAAGAUGUAACGGGGCUAAACCAUGCACCGAAGCUGCGGCAGCGACGCUUAUGCGUUGUUGGGUAGGGGAGCGUUCUGUAAGCCUGUGAAGGUGUGCUGUGAGGCAUGCUGGAGGUAUCAGAAGUGCGAAUGCUGACAUAAGUAACGAUAAAGCGGGUGAAAAGCCCGCUCGCCGGAAGACCAAGGGUUCCUGUCCAACGUUAAUCGGGGCAGGGUGAGUCGACCCCUAAGGCGAGGCCGAAAGGCGUAGUCGAUGGGAAACAGGUUAAUAUUCCUGUACUUGGUGUUACUGCGAAGGGGGGACGGAGAAGGCUAUGUUGGCCGGGCGACGGUUGUCCCGGUUUAAGCGUGUAGGCUGGUUUUCCAGGCAAAUCCGGAAAAUCAAGGCUGAGGCGUGAUGACGAGGCACUACGGUGCUGAAGCAACAAAUGCCCUGCUUCCAGGAAAAGCCUCUAAGCAUCAGGUAACAUCAAAUCGUACCCCAAACCGACACAGGUGGUCAGGUAGAGAAUACCAAGGCGCUUGAGAGAACUCGGGUGAAGGAACUAGGCAAAAUGGUGCCGUAACUUCGGGAGAAGGCACGC
rnacentral:rRNA from 1 species